CAGAGAGAAGCAGCUGAUUCUCCUCCAGAUCCUCCAGAAAGACCAGAAGAAGGAUCUCUGACAUCCAGAGAGGUGGAGGCGCAGCAGGAGCUCCCGGGCUGACUCGGUGAUGGAGGGAAGACGUGUGCAGCAGCUGCUCUGUCUGACCGUCACACUCAUCUCUACCACUCUACCAUCUCCACAAGCUUCAGUCCAGUCAAACGUCACAGCUGCUGAAGGAGACCUCGCCAUUCUCCCAUGUGAAGUUGACCUGAACAAAGGGGAACUCGAAGCAGUGAUUUGGAGCAAAUUCGACCGACCCGGUUCUGCAGUCACAAUAUUUUCAUUCACGGACGGCCACAAGAACUCAGGUGACAGAGUGGCUCUGCAGGAUGAACACAUGAAGGAUGGAAACUUCAAUAUAACCAUGAAGAACGUGGCCCUCAGUGACAGUGGGACGUACACGUGUGACGUCAUUCAGGUUGACAUAAAAGACAACGCUAC